rnacentral:lncRNA from 1 species
GUCAACAGGACAAUCAGCAAAAUAUUCACAACAGGUAACUGGAGACUCAUGUAUUGUCAAAGGAUAGGGAUUCUCAAAUAUAGGGUACCCAUUUUGUGCAAGGUCGAUCAGUACUAAAUCCUUUUCUAGGAGAACAACUACAGCAUAUGGCUCCUGAAAGUCAUUAGGAUACGGUGUUUCACAGAGAGUUAGAAAAUCAACAAUAGAAUAAUCCAUUUCUAGCACAGCAGUACUUUUC